GAAACAUUUUCAUUAUUUCAAUUUAUCAAACCAUGUAGAAAAUUUGCACUUAAAACUAUUUAUUGCGUUUGAAAAUUAAACAAAAUUUCUCUUUAUGGACCAAUUUUAUUUUAAUGUGUUCUGAAAUUUAAUUGGACUGGAUUCGUUUGUGCAUUGUGCAAGAGAACAUCGCUAUGCCGUAAUUCGGUGCUCCAAAAUUAUUUUAGAAUUUGUUUGCGUGUUCAUUUCUUCAUGUUUCUCAUAACAGCGAAAGCUUUGUACGCCCAGUUGAUAAGCUGAAAUAAAACGUUAUUGCUUCGCUUUGGGUUUUUAAAGGCAUCAUAUGUAUAAGGGCCGUGAAUAAGAUGCCCGGUGUACUCGUGUCAAACGAUGCGACUAUGCUGGAGUUCAAAUAUCGAAGGAAGUUCCAAUAUUUUGAAGAUAAUACGUUUACAACGACAAUGUGAAAAUCUUUCCGGCGGAAAGCCGCAUGGGACGUUUGCAUCUCUCCAUGAAAAUAAUUAUAAACAUACAUGUUUUUCGAUUCAAAUUACGCCAAGGACCGUCAAAAGCGGCUUGACGUAGAUCGUUGCUCUAAACCAUCUCGAAGGUGCGAAAAACAACAGCACAAAAUUUCAACAUAAUCAGGUAAAAGAUCCAUGAAUGCAUACAACACGAAGGAACACAAAAAACAAGAAUGCAUUAAUUUUAUUCAAAGAAUGGAUCGCAACUGAAUUUUUAUUUACCUUAUAAUACUGUUAUGUAAUAAUAUGCAUUCUUUGAGAAUACGCUUUGUAAAAUAUAAAUUGGUAUAUUUGCCGAUAUAUUUAUUAUCACUAAUGGCCCUUUUGCGUCGUCUUUCCGCAAGAACAUCGAAAUUACGAAGAUUAAACGCCAAUAUUUCUAUUUGGCCGACUGAAACGAGGAAAUAUAAAUUUGUAACACGGCAUAAUAUUAUUAAACUUGUAGAUGUAUUUAUAUAUUACCUUAAUGUACUUAAAAUUUAAUAUAUCUCUUCUAGAAAAUACUUGUUCGUUGUUGUAGUUACUUGGCAUUGUUUAUUUUCCGAUAAGUUCUUACUUUCAGCUUCAUUUAUCGUAAGUCAUUUAGUGAUACUAUUUGUAUCAUAGGUUUAUUAGCUAAGAUACGACAAAUAUUUUAAUUUAUUCCAUGAAAUCAUGUAUGUAUAAUAUACUUCAAUAUUCAUGUUA